UACAGAGGUGGCAAGCGUUGUUCGGAAUUACUGGGCGUAAAGGGCGUGUAGGCGGUCCUGUAAGUCCCGCGUGAAAUCCCCCGGCUCAACUGGGGAACUGCGCGGGAAACUGUGGGGCUUGAGUUCGGGAGAGGGAAGCGGAAUUCCGGGUGUAGCGGUGAAAUUCGUAGAUAUUGGGAAGAACACCGGUGGCGAAGGCGGCUCUCUGGACCGAGACUGACGCUGAGGCGCGAAAGCGUGGGGAGCAAACAGG
rnacentral:rRNA from 1 species